ACACACACACAGAAGAAACAAUGAUUUCUCUUAUUCUAACUCUGGGGACAUUCUGUCUGCUUGCACAAGUGUCUCAUGAAGAGGUUCAGUCUCCUGAGUCUCUGCUUGUUAAAGCAGGAGAAUCUGCUUCUAUCAGCUGCACUGGGACCAGCGGAGUUGGUGAUGACAUGAGCUGGUAUCUGCUGAAAACUGGAGAAGCUCCUAAACUCCUGAUCCAUGACGCCAGUCAACUUGUAUCUGGAGUCUCAGAUCGGUUCAGUGGAACUUAUUCUGGAUAUGUAUUUACACUGAAUAUACGUGGAGUCCAGCCUGAGGAUGCAGGAGUUUAUUACUGUAUGGGGGCUUACAGUGACAGGUGCUCACAGUGAAACAGCAUCGUACAAAAACCUCCCUCAGUCUGACAGCUAAGAGAAUAUGAUAAUACUGAGAAGUUCACAAUAUCAGUCAAUUACGAUGUUAUCAGAUAAGGUGUGCUUAAUUAGAUUUGCAAAUAUAAAUAGUACAUCCAUGAGAUAAUAUACAAUGAUGAAUUAAUUAGACUUUAGUUCAUUAUAAAUGAUACAUGAAAUCCAUGUGUCUGUUAUUCACAUACUCUUUCAUUCAUCUUGUAGCAUUUUGAGCAACAGAAGUUAAAAUCUGUCCAUGACAUUUUAAUUGUAAUUUUACAUUUUAAAUUAAUUCAGCUGAAAUGUAG